rnacentral:lncRNA from 1 species
ACAUCAUUUAAGGGUUGGCAGUGGAGGCAGAGGGUUCUUGCUGGAGAUCCCUGCCUGCUGGAGGCUCUUCCAUAGAAUUUGCCUUCAAGGAUAAAUCUUCAAGUUUUACUCAUAGGCCAGUGUUGCUUUCCGUACAUCCCAUGCCCCCGCAAGACGCCUACUACAACAGUCCAGGAAUACUCUGGCAUACGUCCUGUUGACUGGCCUGUGCUUCUUUCUGAAGAUAGAUCUUUGGUAUGAAAACAGAUGCCUGGUUUUCUUCUUUUACAGGAUGCUUUAGAUGGGACACGGUGUGAAGAACAUUAUGCAAUGCACACUGAUAUAUCACCCUGACCCUAAAACGUAGAGUGCAUCAGACAAUAUUCCUCAGUUGAAUUAUACUCAGCUCAACACAAACAUUUUAAAUAGAUGAACCUUAAAGAAGAAAUGCUGCUCUAAGACAUUUCAAAGGCAUUUGCAAAAAAAAUAUGACUUGGGAUUUUAGAGUUCUUCUUGUUUUCAUUACUCUGUGCUCAAGCAUUGGCCAAGUAUCAAAGCUCCCAAAAGCAGCAAGACAACUGGGAUAUUUAAAAAAAAGGAAAAAAGGGAAAGGAACCUACAAACUAUCCCAUGAAAGAAAGAUAUUUUUCUCUGAAGUUUUAGUCUCUACUGCAAGGUUUCAUUCUUAUUAUAUUUUUAAAUCAAUCUACAGUGAUUCUCUAAUUAUACUGUUGUCAGCAUAGCCACAGUAUAUCCUUAAAUCAUUAUAAAGUCGUACUGAAAUUAAUCUACCUAGAUCCCAGGGUUCAGACUACCAUCUGUAGUCUCAGCAUACAAUGCUCCUUUGUAAUGCCCUUUUAAUUUAGCCUUUGGAAAGUCCUCUGUGACAGCCAAACCAAGUGGUUUCAGAGAGUGGCAAUUCUUGAAGCUACUUUUCAUCAAUCAUUUCCACUUUGUUCCCUUUUAAAACAAUGCAUUCAAUUUUCACUUUAAUUGAGAAACUGAAAACAUAAGAUGAGGCAUAAAUAACACAAAGACUGUGUAAAAUACAUGUCCUUGACAGUGUCAUCCUACAGUUUCUGCUGUCUUCAGGAAUGAAAUUGACUUUUCCAGGUAAUUGAAAAAGUGUUUUUAAUAGCACCAGUUGUUAACUACUGUAUACUGCAGUGAUUCAAAUAGAACUGGAUAAGACUUUGUCCUUAUUUUUAAUAAGAUAAAUAAAUACAAUGCUAGGGCUUCUCUGAAAGUGAUAUCUCCUAUUUUAUGAUGUUGGCCUGCAGCAACAGAGACAGAUGCUGGCGGUAUGGCAGUAGAGGUCGAACCUUCCCACCAAUAUCCUGUUACAUUUUGUUGCCACGUGACUGAUGACAGCAGUGGGGCAACCUGACAAUAUGACGUCAGGCGUAGAAUUGCGUAUGAAACAAAGGAAUUGAAUUCUUCCAAGUGGAAAAAAAUACACUCAUUAACAUUCACUAACACUUGAUGAACAGUGUUAGAGAGUGAAGAGUGGUUGUGAGCACUGUAAGGUGGUAAGUAAGUGAUGCAUUUCAGCAUUGGCGACAGCGAUGUGAAAGACAAGGUGUUCUGGAUGGUCAUGCACAGCUGUCACACUACAAAAUGAAGAGUAUCUCGGUCAGUUCAUCCAUGUGAAUCACCAGAUUAUGACCAGGGAGCUUUGUGUGGAGCUUCAAUGUGUUGGAAAUGAAGGUGGCAACGUUGGAAUAUCCCACAGUUUUUGCCAGAUGUACAAAACAAACUGGGAAACCUACUAUUAAGUUGUGCUACCAUGAAACAGUUCAGAAAUAAGGAAGAUGAUUUCUGAGAACCAAGGAAUUGCUAAAGACUCCUAUUUCAUUACAGAGUGUAAAGCUGUGGACAUUCAGUGCUUUUAUUUUAAUUUCCACUCUGAGAUAUAAUGAUGACUAUAUACUCUGAUAUAUGACUUGAAUGUAUGAUUGGC